rnacentral:rRNA from 1 species
UACGUAGGGUGCAAGCGUUGUCCGGAAUCAUUGGGCGUAAAGAGCGUGUAGGCGGCCCGGUAAGUCCGCUGUGAAAGUCCAGGGCUCAACCCUGGGAUGCCGGUGGAUACUGUCGGGCUCGAGUCCGGAAGAGGAGUGUGGAAUUCCUGGUGUAGCGGUGAAAUGCGCAGAUAUCAGGAGGAACACCAAUGGCGAAGGCAGCUCGCUGGGACGUUACUGACGCUGAGACGCGAAAGCGUGGGGAGCAAACAGG